GAUGAACGCUGGCGGCGUGCCUAAUACAUGCAAGUCGAGCGAACGGACGAGAAGCUUGCUUCUCUGAUGUUAGCGGCGGACGGGUGAGUAACACGUGGAUAACCUACCUAUAAGACUGGGAUAACUUCGGGAAACCGGAGCUAAUACCGGAUAAUAUUUUGAACCGCAUGGUUCAAAAGUGAAAGACGUCUUGCUGUCACUUAUAGAUGGAUCCGCGCUGCAUUAGCUAGUUGGUAAGGUAACGGCUUACCAAGGCAACGAUGCAUAGCCGACCUGAGAGGGUGAUCGGCCACACUGGAACUGAGACACGGUCCAGACUCCUACGGGAGGCAGCAGUAGGGAACCUUCCGCAAUGGGCGAAAGCCUGACGGAGCAACGCCGCGUGAGUGAUGAAGGUCUUCGGAUCGUAAAACUCUGUUAUUAGGGAAGAACAUAUGUGUAAGUAACUGUGCACAUCUUGACGGUACCUAAUCAGAAAGCCACGGCUAACUACGUG
rnacentral:rRNA from 1 species